ensembl:lncRNA
AUUGUAAGCACAUAAUGCAUUCAUGCUGAAUUGGUAAGCUCAGCACCACGCUUAGCAGACUUUGGUUAGGGAAUUCAGUUGCAAACUUCCUGCCGCCCACCCAGGUCCUCUGUCCUGGGAUUCUCCAGGCACCAGAGAUAAAGGAACUGAAACAGGUGACCUGCCAAGACUCUGGGCUUCUACCCCUAGCUCAUGCAUAUGCAAUGAAACUCUGGCUGGGAGUGAUUUGCUGUCUAUUCUUUGGGAGAAAAUACCCCACAGAACUCAAGGCUGAAACUCGAUUUCUGGGAUAAUUUCUUUGGCAAGAUGUCCUUGUGUGUCUGUCAUUUUGGGAAGAAAUUAAAAGCUUGCAACCAGGUUUGUGUGUGUUAGGCACCCAGCCAUGUCCAGCUCUUUUCAACCCCAUGGACUGUAGCCCACCAGGCUCCUCUGUCCAUGGAAUUCUCCAGGCAGGAGUACUAGAGUGGAUUGCCAUUCCCUUCUCCAGGGGAUCGUCCCAACCCAAGGAUCGAACCUGGGUCUCCCAAGUUGCAGGCAGAUUCUUUACCAUCUGAGCCAUCAGGGAAGCCCCUUGCAACUAGUUUUAAAAGGAGCAGUUAUUUAUACUACAAAAUAUUCUUUGUGUUAAUGAACAACCUCUUUAAGCAACUUUGCUUUCCUGUGCACAAAUUAACUACACCGGGGCAGCCUGGAAUACUAGAAGGGAAGGGAUCACUGCUUUCUACAGGAGGCAGAGCUGGGAAGGGCAAUGUGAGCUCCUGACCACUGAGAAGCAAUCAUUAACACAGAACCUGAGAAUGUAAGGGAACUUCUAACCUUCCACCCACAGUUCUGCAACAUUGUGGGAAGCAGAUCCACCACCAGCCUAAUAGGAGAGGCAGCACAGAGCUGGCCUGAGGUUACAACCACCCACCUUCAUGCUCACUGCCCAGUUACGCAAACUGCAGGUUUAGUCACCCAGCAGCUCCUGAGGGCAAAUCCAUUUGAGUAACUGUGGAACACCAUGUGCUUAACUUCCAAGAAACUUUCCAUGAUCUUAUGUUUUAACACCAACUCUAACCUUUGUUUUUCAUAAAAACUGCCCUUCUGCAGUUCUUGGCCCC